GAUGAACGCUGUCUCCAGGCUUAACACAUGCAAGUCGAGGGGAAACGACGGGGAAGCUUGCUUCCCCGGGCGUCGACCGGCGCACGGGUGAGUAACGCGUAUCCAACCUGCCUCUGACUGAGGGAUAACCCGUCGAAAGUCGGCCUAAUACCUCAUGGCAUCGUCUGCGGGCAUCCAACGACGAUUAAAGAUUUCAUCGGUCAGGGAUGGGGAUGCGUCUGAUUAGCUUGUUGGCGGGGUAACGGCCCACCAAGGCUACGAUCAGUAGGGGUUCUGAGAGGAAGGUCCCCCACAUUGGAACUGAGACACGGUCCAAACUCCUACGGGAGGCAGCAGUGAGGAAUAUUGGUCAAUGGGCGGGAGCCUGAACCAGCCAAGUAGCGUGCAGGAUGACGGCCCUAUGGGUGGUAAACUGCUUUUAUGCGGGGAUAAAGUGAGGGACGUGUCCUUCAUUGCAGGUACCGCAUGAAUAAGGACCGGCUAAUUCCGUG
rnacentral:rRNA from 1 species